CGGGGUGCCGCAGGCGAGAAAACUCCACAAUGUGCGAAAGUACGAUGGGGUUACCUAGAGUGCAGUUCCAUAAGGGCUGCUUUUCCAUAGAGUAAUAUCCUGCGGGAAUAAGAGGGGGGCAAGCCUGGUCUCAGCCCCCGCGGUAACCCCAGCCCCUGGAGUGGUGCGGACUAUUAUGGGGUUUAAAGCGUCCGUAGCGGCCGGUAUCCUUCCCCCGGAAAUUCGAGCGUCCUAAGCGCUGGAUUGCGGGAGAUACCAUACAGCUAGAGGCUGGGAUAGGUGAGCGGUAUUUCUGGGGUAGGGGCGAAAUCCUUUGAUCCCAGGAGGACCACCAGUGGCGAAGGCUGCUCACUAGAACACGCCUGACGGUCAGGGACGAAAGCUGGGGCAGCGAACCGGAUUAGAUACCCGGGUAGUCCCAGCUGUAAACGAUGCUAGCUAGGUGUUGGGUCGGCCACGCGCCGCCCCAGUGCCGCAGGGAAGCCGUUAAGCUAGCCACCUGGGGAGUACGGCCGCAAGGCUGAAACUUAAAGGAAUUGGCGGGGGAGCACAAGGGCGAUUCGC
rnacentral:rRNA from 1 species